rnacentral:rRNA from 1 species
CCCUUAGAUGUCCUGGGCCGCACGCGCGCUACAAUGGCAGACUCAGCGAGUUACCUCUGUCGAAAGGCACAGGGAAUCUUUACAGUAUCUGCCGUGAUGGGGAUAGACCCUUGUAAUUUUUGGUCUUCAACGAGGAAUUCCUAGUAAACGCAAGUCAUUAACUUGCAUUGAUUACGUCCCUGCCCUUUGUACACACCGCCCGUCGCACCUACCGAUUGAAUGGUCCGGUGAAGUCCUCGGACCCAGUUGAACCUCGAGUUGAACAGGGAAAGUUGACUAAAUCUUACCAUUUAGAGGAAGGUGAAGUCGUAACA